rnacentral:sRNA from 2 species
GAAUUAAAUCUGGCUGCUAUCCAAGAACCUGGGUGACUCACAAGGCAGAAGAAACACUGAAUUCUAUCUGUUUAAUGAAUAAGAUUCAGAGAAAAAGAGGGUGGAUGUUCUGAGAAUCUUUUAAUGGCAUUACAAAGGAACCCUGUCUAUUCUGAGAAGAGGAUUGAGGACCAAUCAAUAAGGUUGGUUAUAAUAUGACUACAAUACUCAGUUAAUCACCUCCAUAGAUUGAUCAUCAUAUUCUCCUGAUCUGAACCCAAUUGAAGCUGUAUGGAAUCUUGUGAAGCAGUGGAUACAGGAGAAACAUGGGGAUGAGGAAAUCUUUCUUAUAAUGCACAAGAGACGGUUAGAAAUGCCUGGGACUUUAUAACAAGGGAGCAGCUACAGGAGCUUAUUGCAGAGAUGCCUGGCUCACUGUCAGGCAAUUAUAGAGGU